rnacentral:rRNA from 1 species
UAGGGAAUAUUAGUAAUGGGCGAAAGCCUGAACUAGCAACACCGCGUGUGCGAAGAAGGCCUUCGGGUUGUAAAGCACUUUUUGAGAGGAUGAGGAAGGACGGUACUCUCAGAAUAAGUCUCGGCUAACUACGUGCCAGCAGCCGCGGUAAAACGUAGGAGGCGAGCGUUAUCCGGAUUUACUGGGCGUAAAGCGUGUGUAGGCGGUUUGAUAAGUUGGAUGUGAAAGCUCCUGGCUUAACUGGGAGAGGUCGUUCAAAACUAUCAGACUUGAGAGUGGUAGAGGGAGGUGGAAUUCCUGGUGUAGCAGUGGAAUGCGCAGAUAUCAGGAGGAACACCAGUGGCGAAGGCGGUUCUCUGGACAUUAACUGACGCUGAGGAGCGAAAGCGUGGGGAGCAAACA